GCUUGUCUCAACACCACACUCGUGUGGUCAACAAAACUUGCUGCGAAGAUGUACGCGUCCGCUAUACGGUUCCCGGAAUACGGUCAACCCCCAGCACCAUGCCCCUCGAGAGAGGGUGCAGUGACUGUAGUGUGGUUGGUUGAUAUUUCUAUAGAGUUACGGUGACCAUAGCGUCGGGGAAACACCCAGUCUCCAUUCCGAACCUGGAAGUUAAGCCCGACAGCGCCGAUGGUACUGCGACCGGGAGGUCGUGGGAGAGUAGGACGUCGCCGGAC
rnacentral:rRNA from 2 species